CAAUGUUGUAAAGUAAUUAGCCUCCAACUAAUAAAAAUAAAUGAAAAAAAAAAAAAAAAAGAAUGGGCAUGCAACAUACCAGGUUCUAUCUUGCAGCUAUUACAUUUAUACUGGAAUUUUCCUUCUAUGGAAUCUCCUUUAAAAGUAGAUUCCCUAAUUUGGAUGCUCCACUGGUUUACAUUUCUCUUUUUUCUUCACAGGCUGCAUGCCUAUCUAAAUCAGUAAUUAUAGGUUGCAUAGUGAUGUAUUGGCAUGCUUUUGACUGAGGUAUUGCAGAAUAGCCAGUUAAACAGUCAGCUUUACCCUUUGGUAACAAGCAGUCCAGCCCUAUGCAGUUUCAGGAUUAGUCUGUCAGUGGCCCUGGGGGACAGUCAGGGGCCCUUUUGCUUUCUGUGUUUUCGCCUUGUCAUCCUCAGCGUGUUGAUGCUGACUCCCCUCGUGCCCGCAGGAUGGCUCCAGCACUUCUCGGCAUGUUCUGCACACACGAUCCGAAGGCAGAAUAGUGUCUCCUCCUGCUUCUCUAUGAGGGAGCGUAACUUUUCCUGAAUGCGUCCCAACAGAUUUCCCCUCAGAUCCUACUGGUUGAGAUGUGGUUAUUUACACUGGCAACAGGAGUGGAACAGUCACAGUUGGCUGGGACCAGUCAAGAAUAGGCAAUCUAGCAGAGAAUGAUCACUUGAAUUCAGUUAGAGGUCUAAUGCCAUGAAAAACAUGGAGUAGGGGUGGGAUAUGGAACAGUGUCUGCCACAGGGUACUAUCUGUGAGUCCUUGGCCUUCCCACUGGGGAAGUUAAUAUCCUUGUAGAUUUCCAAGAAGAGGAAAGAUACUUUUUACAAUAUUUCCACUGAGCUUGGUGUUGGAUCUCAGAAAUACUGUAUUCAUUGACUCACUUAUUCACAUAGUAAACAUUAACUCAACAUACAUUUUGUGCCAGGUGUUGUGCUCAGCACGGGGGAAGUAGCUGAGUAAGACCUGGUCCUCAUCCUCAGGUGGUGGCUGGCACUUAGUUCAGUGGAAUAGGGUGGCUGAAGUAAAGUGGGGAGGAUAGAGUUAUUCUGUAAUAAACUGAUUUUAGGAAAUUUAUUUUUCAGCAGGAGAUGUGGGACAUGUGGAUGUGGGAUGUGAAUUCAUUUGAAAAGCCACUUUGGGGUUAUGAAAGUGAUUUCUGAUGAAACUGGAUUGGAGUAAUUUUCAUGAUCUUUGUAUAUUUAUACAUAUAUAUUUUAAAAUUUUGCAUUUGACUUAAAGUGCCAUGAGAAAAUUUGCAUACUGCAAGGUGGUCCUGGCCACCUCCUUGAUUUGGGUACUCUUGGAUAUGUUCCUGCUGCUUUACUUCAGUGAAUGCAACAAAUGUGAUGAAAAACAAGAGAGAGGACUUCCUGCUGGGGAUGUUCUAGAGCCAGUACAAAAGCCUCAUGAAGGUCCUGGAGAAAUGGGGAAACCAGUCGUCAUUCCUAAAGAGG